rnacentral:rRNA from 1 species
GACGAACGCUGGCGGCGUGCUUAGCACAUGCAAGUCGAACGAAAAUACCAAGCUUGCUUGGUUGAUUAGUGGCGAACGGGUGAGUAACACGUGAGUAACCUGCCCCUUACUUUCUGGAUAACUGCUCGAAAGGGUAGCUAAUACGGGAUAUUCUGGCCUUCCUGCAUGGGUUGGUUUGGAAAGGUUUUUUUCUGGUGAGGGAUGGGCUCGCGGCCUAUCAGCUUGUUGGUGGGGUGAUGGCCUACCAAGGCUUUGACGGGUAGCCGGCCUGAGAGGGUGGACGGUCACACUGGGACUGAGAUACGGCCCAGACUCCUACGGGAGGCAGCAGUGGGGAAUAUUGCACAAUGGGCGCAAGCCUGAUGCAGCGACGCCGCGUGAGGGAUGAAGGCCUUCGGGUUGUAAACCUCUUUCGUCAGGGAACAAGGCACUGCUUUUGGUGGUGUUGAGGGUACCUGGAUAAGAAGCGCCGGCUAACUACGUGCCAGCAGCCGCGGUAAUACGUAGGGCGCAAGCGUUGUCCGGAAUUAUUGGGCGUAAAGAGCUCGUAGGCGGCUGGUCGCGUCUGUCGUGAAAACUUCCGGCUCAACCGGGGGCUUGCGGUGGGUACGGGCCGGCUAGAGUGCGGUAGGGGUAACUGGAACUCCUGGUGUAGCGGUGGAAUGCGCAGAUAUCAGGAAGAACACCGAUGGCGAAGGCAGGUUACUGGGCCGUUACUGACGCUGAGGAGCGAAAGCGUGGGGAGCGAACAGG